rnacentral:misc_RNA from 1 species
GCCCAGUCGAUCGAGGUUCGGCCCGGAGAUGAC